GCCCGGCUGGCUCAGUUGGUGGAGCAUGGGACUCUUGAUCUCCAGGCCAUGAGUUCAAGCCCCAUGUUGGGCA
rnacentral:tRNA from 1 species